rnacentral:rRNA from 1 species
GACGAACGCUGGCGGCGUGCUUAACACAUGCAAGUCGAACGGAAAGGCCCUGCUUUUGUGGGGUGCUCGAGUGGCGAACGGGUGAGUAACACGUGAGUAACCUGCCCUUGACUUUGGGAUAACUUCACGAAACUGGGGCUAAUACCGGAUAGGAGCUCCUGCUGCAUGGUGGGGGUUGGAAAGUUUCGGCGGCUGGGGAUGGACUCGCGGCUUAUCAGCUUGUUGGUGGGGUAGUGGCUUACCAAGGCUUUGACGGGUAGCCGGCCUGAGAGGGUGACCGGCCACAUUGGGACUGAGAUACGGCCCAGACUCCUACGGGAGGCAGCAGUGGGGAAUAUUGCACAAUGGGCGGAAGCCUGAUGCAGCAACGCCGCGUGCGGGAUGACGGCCUUCGGGUUGUAAACCGCUUUCGCCUGUGACGAAGCGUGAGUGACGGUAAUGGGUAAAGAAGCACCGGCUAACUACGUG